ensembl:lncRNA
GGAGGUACAUCCUGUCUUUUCAAACGUCCAGAGGAUGUUUUGUGUCGAAGCUGAGAGAUAAUCAGAACGCGAGCUGCUCUGUCAGAGGGCCAGGCAGUCGUUUGGUGUUCAACAUCAAACUGAUCCUGUCAGGCCAGGUGUUCAACAUCAAACUGAUCCUGUCAGGCCUGGUGUUCAACAUCAAACUGAUCCUGUCAGGCCAGGUGUUCAACAUCAAACUGAUCCUGUCAGGCCAGGUGUUCAACAUCAAACUGUUCCUGUCAGGCCAGGUGUUCAACAUCAAACUGUUCCUGUCAGGCCAGGUGAUCAACAUCAAACUGAUCCUGUCAGGCCAGGUGUUCAACAUCAAACUGAUCCUGUCAGGCCAGGUGUUCAACAUCAAACUGUUCCUGUCA